rnacentral:lncRNA from 1 species
AACUAAUUCAUAAUCUUAAUAUGGUUAGGGAUCAUGAUUGGAAUAUUUAUAUUUAUGUAUGUAUAAUUAUUCUCAAGUGCGUAAGCUCUCAAUUUUUUUUUUUAACUAAUGCAGACAUACUAUUAAAUCAUACGGUUUAAUAGAGUGCCUCCACUAACUUUAUUAAACCUCUAGGUUUAAUAGCAUGUCUGCAUUAAAGAAAAAAAAAAAAAAAGAGGGUGGCCGCACUAGUAAAGGAAUAUAAUCUAUAUUGACAAGAUCGGAUUCUACUAAAGUGCAUUUCAAUACGUAGGAGGUUGUGUUUUUUUUAAUAUAUCUGUUAAUGCAUUAAAUUAUGUAUUUUUUUUGUCAAUUAGUGACACCUUCACUUUAUUAAAAUGAAGAUAUCUUCAUUAGAGAGUUAUUAUUAUUAUUUUAUUAUCAUACAACUUCUCAUAUGUGGAAGUUAAAAUGUAGAUUCCUUGCAGACUCAGCUAAAAAUUAAAAAAAAAACUCUCAAACACUAAAAGAUUAAAAAAAAAUACAUUAAAAUAUAAUAAUUUUUUUUAUUAUGUUUUAACUGUGCCAGCAUUUGAGAAGAUCUAUAUUUAUUUAUUUAUGCAAUGCAGCUCUAUCUUUGUUACAUGAGGUUGCUUUCAAAAUCUGAAUGGUAAUAUUUCAUGGAUAGCUCUCAUCGCUUUCACAUUAAACCAAAAUAUCUUUACUACUUGUAUGCAAAGUACAAUGCAACAUUAAAAUAAAAUAAAACUAAUAGAAACAGAGCCUACAUCUAACACUCAAAAACAGCAGUCAGCAGGCCAUGGGGCACAGAGAUGUUUAUACACCAGAUUUGUAUUUACUUCAUACCGACGUUAUUGACAGUGACUUUAGGGCUUUGGGCACUCCGCGCGCCCUAUUGCUGUUAUUAGAUCGAAUAAUGGGAGGCAUCAUUCGGUGAUAAAGACAUUAUUUAUGCCCCUUUGUUAAUUAUUUCAAUUAUUGAUGCGGUUGUUAUCUAACUAACAUUCUCCGGGCCGAAGUGGUGGGCUGCUACCCUCGCAAGGCUUAUGAGGGCAGCGGUUCUAGCCCCCACAAAAGCAUUGUAGGGGCUAAAUAUUUUUAAUAUAUAAAAAUCAUUCUCUCUUGCGAAAUGCUAGUGGAGUACGGACAUCUCUCCUCUGUGAGGGGUUAUUUGUCUGGGCAUGUACUUCAUAGAAUUCAAUGUAAUAAUGUAAGUCUCAAUCAUGUAUAUCUGAUUAUAAUUAUCAGUGUAAUAUAUCUGCUAUAAUAACAAUUGUUGUAAAUAUCUGUGUAAUGCAGUAAUCUGAUGUUUAAUCAGUAUUAAAAAAAAAACUAACAUUCUCCGUGUUUUACUUUGUUUAUGUUAUAUAAUUAAUUAUGUAAUAUCUUAAGAUGAUAAGCUAAUUGGAAUAUUGUUCAUUGUGAUAAUUUUUGCUAGCACAACAAUCAUGGACCAACUUCAUAAACAAUGUUUUCCCUCUCGAAUCAGUCAUGUACAUGUUGUCGCUUGUCAGGACAAUAAUUAGGAGGAAGAAAAAAAAAUAACGCGGAGAUACUAAAUCUACAAAAAUUGUUGGUAGAAUCACGAUUUUGGUUCAAUGGGUGCUACAAACUUAAAGUGGCCCGACUAAAAAAUAUGUAAACUAAUGGGGGCUAAAACGUAAAAUACUUUUAGAAAUAUGUUUAGUUAGUGUGCCAUUAUCUUCCACGGAAUUUUUCCGACCUAGGAUGAGCCCCCAAGCUACAAUUUAUGUAUUUAAAAUGAUUAAUAUUGCAUGCAUAACAUGAUUUUUUAAUAUUUAGUGACACCAUUUGAUAGCAUCAACUUACGACUGCAAAAGCAACACCAAAAUAAUUGACUUCAACUAUGGGCAUAUAACUAUGUAUAUGGUCCCGAGUCACUCGACUUUGCCCGAGUGAUUAGAACCCAACUCUCACAAUUAUGUAGGCACAUGUUCGAGCCCUACAACGCAUUGUGGGGAUUUAUUUUCUUUUCUUAAUUUGAGUGAAUGCAUUAUUCUCCUUUUCAAAAUGUGAGUAGAGUAGAUGUUCUUCAAAUAUUAGAAAUGAUAAAAUUUGGGUUAUUAGUCCCACUAAUUGUUUGAUUGUAAAUAUUAGUAUAGUAAUCUCAUGAAAUGUGAGUUGUAAUAUGAAUAAUAAUCUCAUGUAAUUAAAAAAAAUAUGUAAAGGGUCCCAAGCCAUAUAAAUAUAAUUAUUUUCUAGUGAGGAUAUUAUCACUUUGUUUAAUAAAAAUGUGAGUAAAAUAAAAAAAAUAUAAAUUUUAAUACACUAACAAACAAAAAAUAUUGUCUUUAUUAUUAAAAUAUGUGUUUUUUUAAAUGCACGGCUUUUAUUUUCUAUGUAAAAACAAUUGACCCCUCAGCUUUAUAAUUUUUGUAUCAUGACUUCCUCAAUUUGUUGUUUCUUCAUUAUGAUCCCAUCAAAGCCGUGAGCCAAUUUGAAGCCACGAAGGGGCAGUUGAAUGAUGAACAUUUUUAAUGAACUUUUGUCUCUUACUCUCUUUUAUAUUGAAGCUCGCUUUUUUGUAUGGCAACAUACGCAAAAGGAAUAGCUUUUGAAAACUGCCUUAAAAUUAAAAGUUGUAGAAAAGCUUACGAAGUAUCUUCUUACAGGCGAAAAAGGAUUAUGGUUUAUAGUGUGUCUCUUUAUUCGCUAAACCUUCGCUAAAUUUAAUGUAAGAAUAUGCAUGUAACGACGAUCUUGGGCGACGAUGCAGCUGGCAAUUAACUACUCUUAAGGAUAAUCAAUAGCUGGAUAACAUCCCAUAAUUACAUUAUUAAAAGAUUUAUGUGAUCAUUGUUGUUUCUUUACAUUUUGGGAGAUCAGAUUGUCCAGGGAAAAAUUAAAUUUACAUAACUAGCCUAAAAUCUUUUCGGUUUUUUGAAAUUUUAUCCUUUAAUUUUUUUUUAAUCAUAGUUAGUCAAAUAUCUAAAUUUUGAACAAAAAUAUCUUCGCCACUGUCAACAAAUCACCAAACCCAUACCACUUUCAACAAAAGUUCAUAAAAUAUGUAUUUUGAUUUGAUAGAUAAAGAAACAUUGAAAAUAAAUUUUGAGUCAAAACGAAAUAUAAGGCGAACCUAAAAAAUGUGCAAUAGGUGCCUGUUGCACUUGAGCUUGACUGACAAGCACCUUCACACAAGUGAAACAGGCACCACACAUAUCAUUUUGAAUACUCAAACAAAGCUUUCUUAAUUCAAGCGAAUCAUGCUUUGCUAGUUUAUUUUUCACCAAGUAUCUAGUAAGUGCCACAGGUAGUUUCGCCAUAAAACACAGGUUCUAUAUUUAUGUGCGAUAGGUGUGUGUCGCAACCGGUGUUCUAGCAUAUAAAUACGGUUGUUUUGUCUGGUGUUUUUCUUUUUAUUUUCUUAAUUUUUAAUUGUUUUGUAAUUUUAUGAAUGUUAUUAACCAUUUUAUUGUGUGACAUGCACCCAUACACACCGCAUCAUUAUGCUAUGUUUCGGUGAGAUGGACCUAUCGCACAAAAUAGAUGUGAUAGGCACCAAAACAAAGGCACAUAUGGUGUUUAUCGCACCAAAACACACCCACAACACAAAACCACAAAUCAUCAUCAUCAUCUUAAUGGUUAGCCACCACCAUCACCAUUCUCAUACCAUACAACGCAACAAUAAUACUAUAGACAGUACACCUAUCAUUUGAAACACUCAAAUAAUAAUAAUAAUAAUGAAAACAAAGGCUCUCACACAUAUUUGGGCUAAAAUUUUAUGAGCAACAAUUACCCUUAAGCUAUAAAUAGCACAAUUGUUCAUUCUUUCAGCAAUACAAACCUAACACACUAUUUUUUCACCGAUAAUUUCUAUAAAAUAGAGUAAUUCAAUUUUACAUCAACAACCAAUUGUACUUUACUCACAAAAACACAUUGUCGUUGUUAAUUAAAGAAGCUGUCGUUGAAUGAAGUUUGUAGGAAAUGGAAGAUUGAAGUUGUUGUCGCUGCAGUCGAUGAUUUUAGGACUUGAGUGAGUUCUUUUAUAAGGGUAAAUGUGUCCAAAAAAUUUAUAUUUAACUAGUUAUGAUAGGAAAAUUAGGAGGUUAAUUUUGAAAAACUCCAAAUUAUUUUGGGCUAACUCUAUGAAUUUCCCUAUUUUCCAAGGUUGUGUGCGCUUUUCUUUAUGGAAGAAAACUUUUAAAUGAUUACCGAAGAGCCAAGAAACAAACAGAUAAAAUUCCAUAAGAUGAGGUGGUUGGCAAAAUCAACCAAACGGAAACGUGAAGUCAAGACAAUGAAAUGUGGGCCCAAAUCUUCUUCCCUCUCUCCGUAAUCUAUAAUAAGGAUAAAUAUAUUAUUAUAUCGGCCGCGACGGCCGGAAGAGAGAAAAUGAAAUGUGGGACCGUGAAGCACGUCCAGUUCACAAACGAAUCCAACAUUUUAUUCGUUUGGACUGGGGUUUUGUCUGACGUGGCACGAUUAUCGUCAUAAUCAUGGGAUAUUAUCAAUCAUGCAAGGGAAAUGAUAUGCACCCUAACAAUAAAUCCCACCAAGAUCAAUUUUUGAGACAAUUUAAUCAUUAAUUUAAAUUUUGAGAGUAUUCAUUAAAAUAUUACAAUUUUUUUUUUGUGUUCUGUGUAUGUAUAUGUGAAAUUCCCAUAAUUACAUUAAUUAUUUUUUAAAUUUACCGAAUAAAUUUUUAAUUGAUUCAGUUAGUAUAUCUAUCUCUUUAUUCAUAAAGUGGAGUGUUCUUUUUCUUCUUCUUCUUCUUUUAAUUUAAAAAAGAAAAAUAAACAUAUGAGCUAAGUCUGUUAUUAACAAAAAACAGACGUCUAAUUUAAAGUAUAUUAUCUCAAAUAAUUUGACCUAUUUUAUUAGUGACCUCAAUUUUUUUUUUCCUUUUCAAUGGAGCAAUGCUAUAUGAACAAAAAAAAAUUUCAAAAACACAAUCAAAACUACAUCAAAUCAAAACAAUAUUGCAAUUCAUAAAUGAAAUAAAUGUGUUAGGAAUUAAAAAGCAGAUCAUAUCAACGUUGAAAGGAAACAAAAGAAUAUUCUUCGAUGAAUAUUCGAUGGGAACAGCAACUAAUCAACUAUGAAAUUGAAGCCUAAUCAAAGUGACCACAUGUAAUCACUUGAAAACUAAAAGGUGUGGAAUAAUAAUUCGUGCCGAAAAAUUGCAGUUAAAGCCAAGAGUUGGACGGCAUAUAUGAUAAGAGUGGAUCUCCGACUUGUUGCGUGCAUAUUAUUAUAGACCUUGUUUUGAAUUAAUGGAAAAGAUUUUCAACAUCUUUGUUUUAUUACUGUAAUUAUGUCACUUUUAAAAAUCCCAACCGACAGCUUGUGCAUGAUUGAUCUUAAUUGCAGUUGAAGUUAUUUUAACCUCCCAUUCCGUCACCCAAGUUCUCCUCUAGAGUCCAUGCUCUUCUAAAAGAAGCCAACCAACAAAUACCAAUAUUAUUAAUUCAAUAUUAAAUGAGUUGUGCAAGUAAUUUAAUUAAUUAGUUUCUCAGGGAGCCAGUGGGCGCAUACAAAGAAAAGGCAGCCAGCGGGGGAAACGCAAAAGCAAAAUCACAAAACCCUAGACCUAGAGGGCUGGAGGCUAAAAAAUUUUGGUACAAGACGGCAGUUGGUUUGGACCUAUAAAAUGCAGGGGGAGGGGAUCUUCACAGAGAACAGGCAAAAGAUCUCGUUGUCCCCACUUUCCCCGGACCCAACGACCAAAUGAAAUCUUUGCCAAAAAAAUCUCUCUCUAUAGUCUAUCCUACAAUUCCUGCAUGGCAUCGCGGAUCUCGCUACUGUUUGUUGUACUUGUACGUUUUCAAGAGACAUGGCCUUCUCUUGCUUCUUUCUUUGACUAGAUUUUGUGCCCUCCACGCUUGUCUAUUGUUAUACUGCACAAUACUGAUUAACCUGCUCUUUUAAUCUUUUAUACGAGAUUCUGUUGAAUAAAAUACAAAUCAAUAAUUGAUGGUUACUAAAUAAAAAUAUAAGAAUAAUUAACAGUUAAUUAUUCUUAUUAUCGGUAUGAACACGUGAUGUACUAUUUUUAAAAAGGUUAAGGAAUAACUCGUUAGUUCAUUUCUUUUAACCAUUCUAAGACUUCCUUAAUCAAGGAAAAUAAUUGGAUAAUGGUGGUGAUAUCAAGGCCUUGUUGAUUAUUGCGCACAAAUUGUGAAUGAAGAUUGAUAGGCUUUUAUGACACUAUAUAUCUCGUACGCAAGUAGCUAGAGGAUUGAGUAGCUGCCCUCAACAAGUUAGGUUAUAACUUUUUGCAAGCAUGGUAAUUACUUGUAUCUUUUGCAUAACAUGUACAAUUGUCUUGUCGAGUCUUGUCCCAUUGCCCCUCCUUUCAAUGUUUAAUGAUAUAACUUAACCGAAGUGGUCCUAAAAAUUAGGUAUCAAAAGUAAUUAUUGACGAUAUUUUAUGAAUUUAAAGUUGCACGUAUUCAUUAACAAUCUUUUCCAUGAUCAAUUUGCACAACUUGAUUAUUGCUUACAUAAUUAGAAAAGAAAGAGAUCUUUGUGAUUAUUGUCUCUAGAAUUAAAAAAAAAAUCCCUUUUCUGACAUUCUGUUGGUGAAGACCAUUAGAAAUGCAAAGACCACACUCAAAUGGAAAUGUUAUUAACAAAUUGCUUGCAAAUAGAAACGUGAUCAGUAUACUAAUAAUAAUAAUAAUAAUGUGUUUAAUCCAUUUAGUUUUAAGUUCUGGAAAGCACCCGAGGCCAUGACCUCAACCACUUGCAAUCAAAUGCUUUAAUCUCAAUAAUUAAGUUUACCUAUGAAGGCAAAGUUAUUAGUAAAAAAGAAUAUUCAUUAAGGGAGUGUUCUAUCUCCAAUAAUUAAGAUUUUAUUCAAACAAUGGCUGUUUGCUUACAAUAAAAAUAUAUAGAAUCAUUAAGGAUAAAAGUGCCUAAAAAUGAUCGGUGUGAGCUUUUUACCUUUUCCUCAAAUCUAAAUAACUUGAAAAAUUAGGCUUCUGCAUUAAAUAAUAAUAAUAAUAAUUAAUAAAUAAGGCUUCUAUUCUAUGAGUUCAAAAUUUCAAGGGAAAAUUUUACAAUUUCCCAAAUGUUUUGACAUACUUAAAUGCAUCUCAUCCACUCAAUUUCAAUGAAAUUUAAUGGCUGAUUAUAAUUGACUUCACAAAAUAUCAUUUUACCCCUAUUGACUUCAAAUUAUCAUUUUACUCUUGAUUGUACUCAAAAAAUUUGUACUAUAUUAGAAGUAAUAUAAUUAAUUAUUAUAUAUGUGAUAUAUGUAAUUAAAUUUAAUAUAAUAUCACUGCUUACAUGUUAAUUUUUAAAAAUAAAUAAACACAUAGUACAAUAUUGUUUACUUGAUAUAUAGUCCACAUAGUACCUCGAUAAUAUUUACAAUCCAAUAACAUGUCACUGAGUACUUAACUGAUAUUAAAAUAUAAAAUAUUAAAGUAUAAAAAUUAUAAAAAAAGUAAACAAACUAUUUUUUUUUUUUCUUCUUCUCUCUUUAUAUCCCUCUCCCUUGUCUUCUCUCUCAUCUUCUCUAUGAAGCAAACUAAGGGCAGCCACACGAGGCUAUUGUGCAGCCAUAACGAGGAUAUCGUGAAGCCUCGUGCGGUUGUCGCUUGGCCACACGAGGCUGUCGAAAGGCCUCGCACGAUCACAACAACCUUGUACACCCAUCAAUGAUGUAAUUUGUCGAAGUUUAGUUGGGUUCAAUUUGUGAUAGGUUGAUCUGGAUUCAACUUGUAUGUUUUAGGGUCCGUUUGAUUUAUUCAAGGGAAAAGGACAAUAAACCCCUAAUGUUUUAGAAAAAAGACAUAAAUUUUUUUAACAUUUCAAAAAAAAAAUGUAACUCACAUUUUUGUUUUUAAUUUAUAAUUACUAUUAUGUCCCUAUAAUAAAUAAAUCAAUAUAUUGAUUUAAAACAUGCCAUGUGUAUAAUGAAAUCAACAACUUCUUAUUUAAAACUUAAAACUAAAAUGUAACUACAUUUUGCCUAAACUAUUCACUCUAAAUUAUUAAUAUACCCUUCUCAAUGAUAAAUUCCAAAAUAAGAAGUCAAUUUUACUUAUUUGCCCAGUUUACCUUUCAUCCAUAUAUAAGCCUAUUUAAUAUCUCAUUUUGCCCAAUUUGGGAAGAAAAUAAAUUUGAUUUUAAUUUUAUCUAUUAUUCAUAAUUUUUUUUUCAUCCUAAUAUUGGAAAAGGGUGUAUCCAUAAUUUCGAGUGAAUAAUUUAGGUAAAAUGUAAUUAUAUCUCAAUUUUAAGUUUUAAAUAAAAAUUUGUUCAUUUCAUUAUACACGUUAUCAAUGACAAGUCUUAGGUCAAUAUACUGAUUUAUUUAUUAUAGGGCCAUAAUAGUAACUAAAAAUUAAAAAUAAAUCUACUAUUAAAACAAUGAAUUUACUAAUAAGAUGGGGGUUCAUAUUUUUUUUAAAUUUUAAAAGGUUUUAUAUCUUUUUUCCCAAACAUUAGGCGAUUCAUUGUUCUUUCCCCUUUAUUUUAAUUUAUUUGAGAGAGAGAUGUAGAAAAAUGUAAGAGAAAAUGAAAAUAAUUUAACAGAUAUAAUUUUUAUUGAGUUGCAAAGUCGCAAAUACCCUUCAAAAAUCAUUAUCGUUAACCGCCACUAAUCACUUUAUGAAAAUGCCAAACUAACUUUCAGCUGUCAUAACUAAUAGCGACUUAACGGGAUUUGGGGGGAAUGCACUGAAGUUUUCAAAACAUUUGGGUAGUUGGUUGAAAUUUUCCCAAAUUUCAACUUCUUUUUGUGACACAAUGAUCACAGAAUCUCUCCUUGCUCUCUAGUUAGAAAUUCAGAAUCCCGCUUAUUUCUUCCAUCCUCUCUUUAUUUUGGGAAAGCAAUUUCAAUUAUUCUUUCACACAUAAUUUUUGCAAAAACAUGGCUUAGUUAAUUAUUCCUCUAUGACUAUGGUGAUGAUAAAGCAAAAGUGCUUUUCUUAUGGGACAGAAUCACUUGGACAUGGUGUUAUAUAUUUUAGAUGAAAAGUUUUCUACUAAAUGAUGGAAGCUUGAAUAUGGUAGAGAGAUUGUUGACAAUAUACAUUUUCUUUUUCUUUUAAAGGAUUGUUGACAAUAAAAAUUAAUCCCUCUUUUUUCUUUUCUGUCCAUUAAUGAUUAUUAGUAGAAGCAGAUUAUCAAACUCUUGUAAUAAUUAUUUAACACUAUGUUGUUGUAAUUAGAAAACACAGUCUAAUGUUAAAUUCACAUGUUGUAAUUAGAGAAUACAGUUUCACAUUCUAAAAUAUGUAUAUAUCCACAUUGAAAAAGAAUUUAGUAACAAAUACAACCACACCAUUGACCGAAUUUAAGAAGAGUUUAUUAGUAUACAAAUUUCGGUUGAUGCUGUUUUGCACUCAAAACUCUUUUCAUUCACUCACUUGCUGAGUGUUGACUAAUGUCUACCAUAAUUAUGAUUAUUAUUUGGCUUUCACAGUAGAAAAAAAUACCAUUACCGACUCACCAAAAGAAAAAAAAGAUCAAAAGACUAUGAUGUACAUUGGUCCCACCACCUAAGCCUCGAGCAAUCACUAGUGGUUGAGAAGAAAAAGGCAGAUGAUGGUGCUCAAUUUUUAUAUUAAACAUUCUACUGCAAAACAUUAAUGAUCCACUCAUGCAUCAAUCCAGAUUCAUCGUCAAUUUUAUAAGAUUAGGGCAUAAUCUAUAAAAUCAUAUCGCUUAAAGGACCUUAAUGAUUCAAUGUAGAAUAUAAUGAUCAGAGAGGAUCUUUAAACAAUUCUAUUGAAGAUUUUUCCAAGUCCUUUAUUCUACGAACAAAUUAAAGAGUAUCCAAUGACCUAGAAAGUGUUGGCAAAAGGCCACUUGUAGUUGUGACAAACCCCACAUUGAGAAAGGACAUUUAGCACUCUCAUUUGGUGGACCAAAGCCUCAAUCAUCUCCUCGUUCUAGAAAUUUUGAAAAUUGAAACAUGAACAACAGAAAAAGUAUUUUCCCCGGAUGUGGACAAAGCCCAUGAAUCCAAAAAUUAAAAGAAAAUUAAAGGCCCCUUUGUAUCAAAACCCAGAAUUUGCAAAUUGAAUAUUAUCAUCUAUCUGGAUUUUAUGACACUGAUUAUACUAUCAUAAUUCCUUCGGAUGGUACCAAACUGCCUUUACUUUAUACAAGAAAAGUCAUACGAAUAUCAUUAUUUUUUUCAAGUUGAGCCUAAGCCUGAACACGACACAUAAUAUAAGAGGACACAAGUUCCUUUAAAAUAAUCAUCAGAUAAUUUACAAUUGUAGAGCCAACCUCAUUUUGUCGUAUUAACAGUUGGUGGUGGUCGGCCAUGUUUGAUCUUUCAUGGUUUUGGAUAAGAUUGGAGGCCCAUUGAGGUCUUUAAAUUAAAGGAAGUGCCAUCCGUUUCUUACCACAUCUGGCCCUCGAAAUGUUUUCGGCUUUCGCUGACAAAUUAGCUAAAAGUGUUUUUCCUCUUCUAAGAAAUUGUCUAAGAAAAUGUCAAGUCACUGAUCAAUGAGCAAAAGCAAAUAAGGAAUGGUGGAAAAUUAUGCGCAUGUACCCAAAAUCACUAAUUUGAGAUUUGACUGCAAAAGCGGUGGCUCAUGCUCAUUUUACAUUUUGUAUGAUAGCGUUUACAGGUCAAAUAAAUUAAGUUCACUCACCUGUCUAUAUUUGUUCAUUUUAAUUUUUAGGAGUAUCAAUAAACACAACAUAGAAGCGAAAACAUCAGUUUGGGGAAAAUAUGUAUGUGUGCAUAUACGUAUAUCUAUGUAUGUAUAUCUAUGUAUGUAUGUAUGUAUGUAUGUCUGUCUCUAUGUGUUUCUUAUCUUUUACUUUAUUCCUAAUUUUAAUAUAGUUAGGGAUCCAUGAUUUGGGAGUUUAUCUAUA